rnacentral:lncRNA from 1 species
CAAACACAAGAUAAAAGUUUGAACAAUGAUAGUGCUUUUCUGAAUUCUCUUUAUGAGAAGCAAAAGGUGUAUCAAGAGGGAAGUGAGUUAAAGGUAAAAUGGACAAGUGCUUGAAUGAGGAUGUAUUACCUACUCCUCGUUAUCUGAUCCCCAACCACUCGGCAUAAUAUCUUAAAUUUGAAUGUCAACUGAAGGAGGCCUCGAAUAACGAACCUUGUAAUUAAACUUGCACGAAGGUUUCCCUAACAGGUCUUCACAUUCAUCCUGAGGAGGUUUCUCUUCUUACCAAUCCCAUAGUCUAUCAGGUCUUGAAUUUCGUGCUUCAGAUGAUUGCGUUGAUCCAUCAAAUGUCCGAAAGUUUGCUUAUACUCACAAUAUUGAUCAUUGUGAGGGAUAAAACCACUUCUCGAUAAUAAUGGCAUGAGUUUCCUGCUCCUUACUAGGUGAUUGAACACCUUAGAUAAUGGUGCUCCUAGCUAAAUGAAGGCUCUUUAUAGGCUUUUUGGUUCUGGCUCUAGCUUAGUUUUGGGUAAAGUAUGUCUUGGAAGGAAUUCAUGAUCUCCUCUUUACUGAAGUUAGAGGUGACCGUGGAUACUUAGUUUAGGGGUGGUGUGUUAUUAUAAUUAGGCAUGAGACUUCUUUUAAUGUUGGGAUGGUCAGGGUUAGUUAAUUUUUUAGCAUUGAUGAAGUCUUAUAUUUCAUGUUUUAGGCGGAUAUAGUUCUCAAUGUGGUGUCUGGGUGCUUGAUUGAAUUUGUAAUAUGUGUUUGGCUUAUAUCCAGGUCCGUUGAGGUUCGGUGAAUUUUUAAAGAAAGUGGGUUGGAGUAGGCCAUUAUAUACCAACCUUUCAAAAGAGGCUGCUUGAAAUUGGAGAACCUCAUCGGUUACUCGACAACAUUUACAUCAAGAGUUUGGCUCCCUCCAACCUGAUAGUUCGUCCUCCUAUUAGUUCGAACAUUCUUCCUCUUGUCACUCUCGAUUUCUUCAACUUCAAGCCCGUCAUCAUAUAGGCCCAUGAAAGUUUUCAGGUUCAUUAUCUAAAGCCUCUGACCUAAGCUAGAAGAAUAUUUUGGACCACCAAAUGAACUUGGUCUUUCUCAAAAGGUUUGUUCUUCAUCAACCCAGCCUUAUUCCUCUACCUAGUUAAUAGAUUAAAGAAGGGCUUUUUUUAAUUUUUACUUAGUGGACUCAAAAUCCCUUAUUGACACUUUGAAAUGAGUGUUAUAAUUUUAUUAUUUAAUAAAAGAAUUAUACAAAUAUCGCCAUUCAGCUUUGGCGACCUUUCUAAUUCAUGGUACUACUUUACAGUAGGUCCUUGUAAGGACAGUGCAAAUAGCUUGACAACUUGGGUCUUACUUAAUUGAGUAGUUCCCAUGAUAGUAGCAUACUGCUUCAGAUGAACCUUCGGAUCACCAGUCCCGUUAAACUUUUUCAUCUCAAGCAUUUUGAACUUGGAAGGCAGCUUGUCCUUACCCAUUAGGACCAACUCAUCAAAGUCAAAGGUCGGGUCUAAACCCUUGAUUUCCAACAUCCCUUGUAUCUUGUCAAGCCCUACACUCAAGGCACUUGUAGCCUCAUUACUAGCAAAGGCAGUCUCCUUCUUAGUCUAAUCUAGCACAAACUUAUUAAAAUCCCAAAAGUAUUGGGGCACUCCCUUCCUAGUAGGAUCUCCAGCAUUAGCAGCGGCGACAGUAGUGGAAAUUUCAGCAACGAUGCAACUAGGUUAACCACAUAAGGAUUAGCUAUUGCAAGAGACAGCUGGUGCAACUAGAGCAGACGGCGGGGCUUGAUUUGCAUCCAUUCCAGCCAAAAGUUGUUGGAGCUCUUUCUAAAUUAUAACCCUUAGAUCAUCGAUGAUAGCGUUCUUGAAGAUCUCAACAUCCUACUUAUUAGCUCUUUUAUUGGUCAUUUCAGGUAUAAGUUCAUAGAAUAUUAUUGCCUUGCUCUCUGAAGGUACUCUAACAUACACAAAAUCUCUGGUGAAAUUUGUACCUCUCCAGCCUACCGCUCUCUUGUCUUUUCCAACCCAAAAGAGAAUCUAUAUGGCUUCAAAAUAAAGAGUUUUUAUGAUGCAUGGAAUGUAUGGUAUGCAUGCUGCAUGAGCAAUGCACAAGAUUAUGGGUUAGCAAUCACAAAACAUUUACAAAGUACUAUUCUUCCAACCUUAUUACUCUUAUGCACGGUUCAAGGUGAGUCUUUCUUUUCUAGAAUUUUGGACCUGGCCUUUCUAUCAACAAGGGAUAGUAGUCCCAACGUGUAUGUAAAAAACUCUCGGAGCAUAUUAAAACAAACAAGGUGAUAUUUUUCAAUAUAAAUGUAAAACGUGCGUACUAUUAGUCUAAGGCCUCACAUCACAUGUCUUGGGCCAAGACCCUCCAAAAUGGAGGCUUAAACACUUAUAAGGGAAAAUAUCUCACAUAGGAAGCAAUUGGAUCCCUAGGAAAGAUUACUGCAAUCAUUACCAUAGGCUGAAUUUUGGGUAAGGAUAAAGGCUCCCACAAGUAAAAUAUAUUCUUCUUUUACUCGUUUCCCCACUCAAGGGUCCAUGCGACGAAGGAAUUUACUAAUUACUUAUGAGUGAUGGUUAAACAGUGUCGUAACUCUAACGUUCAAGUGGAACCAAAAAACUACUAACUGACGCUAUCGAGGCUAUAGGGAGCAAGGUGCACAAUAUAUAAAAA